GGGCUUUCGGCCCAACAUUAAUGCUGGUCCAAAUUUCGACCUUGGACGAAUGGCCUUCCUAAUGCCGCUCCAUAAGCUGAAAUCAGGCAAAAGCGUUUCUGCGAAAAGUUGAAAGCGGAAACACCUAUUCAAGCAAGCCCUGAGCCAGCACGGUGAUCGCGUUCAACGUCCUCGUGUUGAUGGAAUCGGUCGCGUUUCAAAAUCACGAAUCGUGCUUGUUCGGUGUUCCCAAUUGGAUUUUGGUUCAAACUGCGAAUUGGAUCCUAAGUUCAACAAGAAUCACGUCCAAGUCCAACUAAAUCUUAAUCAGGACACGCUACCGCGAUUGCUUCUGAUAGGCCUUAUCGAUGAAAUUUCUCUCCGUAGUCGAUCACUACUGUCGCGACGUGUAUGUAGAUGCGUGCAUCUUCUUCUUAAGUUUGCGCAAAAUGAUUUGGAUUCACCCUUUAUGUCACGUUCAUUGUCGUCUUCACUAACUCCGGAUCGCAAGAUUUAACGCCGGAACUGAAAGCCUACACAGCUUUGCAUCUUCUGCGUAGAGUGGUGAAGCCUCACACGUGAACUGAGAAUCGAAUCAAGAAGAAUUUGAAUUGGACUUAUUGUGAUAGGUUGUGAAAUCAAAACUCCGGUACUCUGAUUUUUGGCGAUUGACAGAUGAGUUGUGACGACAUCAUUGCGGUGUUUACAUAACGGCGGCAGGUCAAGAAACGGAGACUGAGAGGUGACGUUUGAAGGAAGUUAAAGCUUGACGAUUGAAGGUGAAUAUGAAUUAUCGAGAAACCCUCAAGGCCAAUUGAAGAAGAAGCACUCUUUGUUGCAGAUGAUGAUUGGUGUUGGAGCAUCUCAAAGAUGAAUUGUGAAGAGUGAAGAUUUGAUGGGAGCCCUGAAUUGGAGCAAUGGAAAACAAUGCAGAGUUAGAAAAAACAUGGAUUGAAGCAGUUUGAAGGUGAAGGAAUUGGUUGAGAGAAGGUUGAAGGAAUUGGUUGAGAGAAGGUUGAAGGGCUCAAUUGAAGGUGAGAGUUGAUAUUGAAGGGAUGAUUAUCUGAGAAUGGAUAGAAGGUGGUGUUGUUGCAGAGCGAAAAUUCCCUACUGCAGAAUUGAAAAGAACUCUCUGCAAAAAUCCAAAAAAAAGCUCCUUCUCUCAAUGAUCAGCCAGGUAUUUAUAGAUUCAUUCUUCCUUUACUAUGCUUCCAAUCAAUUAGAGUCGGUUGAGAAUCUGUUACGGUUUUGGUUGGUUACAAAAUAGUUAGGAUUUCUGUUAGGUUAGUUAGGAAUCGGUUAGAGGUCUGGAGUUAGUUACGGUUGGUUAAAAAUGGUUUUCUCCUUAUGUUAUUUUCGCUGGUUCAGUUAUGCAGUUAGAAACUGCUAUGCUUGUGAUGUGUCAUACGGGAUAAAUGCUUCAAAUUCGAUCUUUUACUGAACUUUAUGGUUGUCUCAUGUUUCGCAUUUGUCUUUGAAAUUGUACUUGGUAGGGAGUGUGGUGCGGUAAUAGGUGGGAUAGGAUAGGAUAGGAUAACCAUCAUUCCAAAACUUCAUAUAUCAUUAUCGUGUCAUUGUGAUUUCUGCUUAUUUGAAUAAAAUUUGUUCAAUUUCUGUUAGUAGCUGUUGGCAAUGUUAUUCUGAAAUUCAGCUUAGAUUGCAAUGCCAAUUACUUUUGUUUUCUGCUGUUACGUGAAUAUGGUUAAAGUAUUAACUUUGGUUAAAAAUAUGUUAGAAUGAUUUAUGUUAGAAUUAAUGCUCUAUUCUGCCAAAAUGUUAGCCCUUGUUUACAGUUCCAAUUCGGUUGGCUAGUUAGUUUGGACGGAAAGUUCUUACUUUGUGAGCACUUGGUUAAUUUGUUGUGGUAUUGGCUUGGAAUCUUGAUGUUGGAUAUGACACGACCUGCUUUAGAUAGUUAAGGACUAUUGGCUCUGUUUUGAAAAUGGAUUUUAUUUGCUAGCCUUGGAGUUAAUCGGUGAAAGUGUUUUGCAUGAUGCUUGGAUGAUUUGUGAACUUAUGGUGCACUUGGGAUGCUUUGAAUAUUGGAGUGAAACUUGGUUGCUUGCUCUAUGCACUUGUAUUGAAGAGUGGAGCAUGGUGGAUGCUAUUAAACUUUCAUUAUGUAUUGAUGCAAAUUUUGUUGUAAUUUGAAUUAAAGAAUGUGAAAUUGAGUUGGAUUAAUGAAAAAUGUUUGGAAUAAUGGUUGUAAUAGAAAUGGAUUGAUGAAAUUGUAAUGUGUAUUGAAUGGUUAAAUAUAUUGAAAGUUUGAAUGUUAUGGAAA